rnacentral:rRNA from 1 species
CACGGAUCCAGAGUUUGAUUAUGGCUCAGGAUGAACGCUAGCGGCAGGCUUAACACAUGCAAGUCGAGGGGCAGCGCGGAGGUAGCAAUACUUCUGGCGGCGACCGGCGGAAGGGUGCGUAACGCGUGAGCAAAUGCCCGUGGCAGGGGGAUAAGCGAUGGAAACGUCGUCUAAGACCCCGUAACAACAGAGUUCGCAUGGACUUUGUUUGAAAGCUUCGGCGGCCACGGAUUGGCUCGCGUCCCAUUAGGCAGUUGGCGGGGUAACGGCCCACCAAACCGACGAUGGGUAGGGGUUCUGAGAGGAAGGUCCCCCACAAUGGAACUGAGACACGGUCCAUACUCCUACGGGAGGCAGCAGUGAGGAAUAUUGGUCAAUGGGCGGAAGCCUGAACCAGCCAUGCCGCGUGCAGGAAUAAGGCCCUACGGGUCGUAAACUGCUUUUGUACGGGAGCAAUAAGGGCCACGUGUGGUCCGAUGAGAGUACCGUACGAAUAAGCAUCGGCUAACUCCGUGCCAGCAGCCGCGGUGAUACGGAGGAUGCGAGCGUUAUCCGGAUUCAUUGGGUUUAAAGGGUGCGUAGGCGGCGUGCCAAGUCAGGGGUGAAAGGUUCCGGCUCAACUGGGACAGUGCCUUUGAUACUGGUGUGCUGGAGUGCGCUUGCCGUGGGAGGAAUGAGUGGUGUAGCGGUGAAAUGCUUAGAUAUCACUCAGAACACCGAUUGCGAAGGCAUCUCACGAAGGCGUAACUGACGCUGAGGCACGAAAGCGUGGGGAUCAAACAGGAUUAGAUACCCUGGUAGUCCACGCCGUAAACGAUGAUGACUAACCGCCGGUCCGAUAGGGUCGGUGGCCAAGCGAAAGCGAUAAGUCAUCCACCUGGGGAGUACGACCGCAAGGUUGAAACUCAAAGGAAUUGACGGGGGCCCGCACAAGCGGAGGAACAUGUGGUUUAAUUCGAUGAUACGCGAGGAACCUUACCCGGGCUCGAACGGCAAGUGAAGAGAGACAGAGAUGUUGACGUCCUUCGGGACACUUGUCGAGGUGCUGCAUGGUUGUCGUCAGCUCGUGCCGUGAGGUGUCGGCUCAAGUGCCAUAACGAGCGCAACCCCUGCUUCCAGUUACCAGCACGUAAAGGUGGGGACUCUGGAGGGACUGCCACCGCAAGGUGAGAGGAAGGGGGGGAUGACGUCAAAUCAGCACGGCCCUUACGUCCGGGGCGACACACGUGUUACAAUGGUGGCUACAGAGGGAAUCUACCUGGUGACAGGAUGGUAAUCUCGAAAAGUCAUCUCAGUCCGGAUCGGAGUCUGCAACUCGACUCCGUGAAGCUGGAUUCGCUAGUAAUCGCGCAUCAGCCAUGGCGCGGUGAAUACGUUCCCGGGCCUUGUACACACCGCCCGUCAAGCCAUGAAAGUCUGGGGCGCCUGAAGUCCGUGACCGAAAGGAGCGGCCUAGGGCGAAACAGGUAAUUGGGGCUAAGUCGUAACAAGGUAGCCGUAAGCUUCAC